ensembl:lncRNA
GAAAAUGUCUUUAAAAUUAAUGCAAUAAUUAAAAUAAUAAUAACUUAAUAUAUAAUAUUAUAGCUAUUGUAUUGACACAUAUUUUAACUUAAAAAUACAUUUCUUGGAUGACUGGAAAGUUAAGGGAUUUUUGGGAAUCUCACUACAGUUAAUUUGUCAAAAUAUGUGUGAACUCUAAAUAAUAAAUGAGACAUUUAACACAAUAUUUAGACAAAAUCAUCGUAAAUAUUUUUAAAUAAUUUUUCUAUAUUUAUGAAAGCUUCUCGCAAGUAAAGAUAUUAAGCAUUGUAAUUGUACUGCUGCAGUGUAAAAUUAAAUAAUAUCUUUAUUUAUACUCAUUAUUUGUUAUUUUGUUGUACAAGCUGUGUAUGUAUGUAUGCAUGUAUAUAAUUUUUUUUAGAUAAAAUAAACUGAUAAUAUCAAAAUGAGCAGUUCUCAGACUAGUUUGAUGUAAGCUACAGUGAGUGUGACGAGUGUGUCGUGUUUGUCAGAGCUCUGGCUCCGAUCGGCCCCUCGCCGCUUAUAAGAAAACAUCUGCAGAGAGAGACGAGUCGCCAUGGAAACGUCAGGGGAAGGGUAAAGGGAGAGACAAACCCCCCGCUGGAGGGCUGGAGACAGAUAAAGGUGAGACAGACACCUGUGUGUGUGUGUGUNGAGUCGCCAUGGAAACGUCAGGGCAAGGGUAAAGGGAGAGACAAAACCCCCGCUGGAGGACUGGAGACAGAUAAAGGUGUGGAGUCGGCAGUCACAGUGGGCAGCACGGACUACACUGAGGUUCCUCUGGACUCACUGGACAUUUCUGCAGCGGACAGCCUCUCUCUGUCUCCACACGCAGGUGUGUGAUGAGCUACACUGACUGUCAGAAGUUUGGAAGAGUUAUGAUUUUUUAAAGUUCAUGAAAAAAUCUCUUAGAAUCACCAAGGCUGUGUUUAUUUAAUCAAAAAUACAGUAAAAUCAGUAAUAAUGUGAAAUAUUUUUUACUAUUUAACAUAGGUGUUUUCUAUGUAAAUAUGUUGUAAACUCUAUUUUUUUUCCUGUGAUCAAUUUGAAUUUUCAGCAUCAUUACUCCAGUCUUCAGUGUCACAUGAUCCUUUAGAAAUCAUUCUAAUAUACUGUUUUACUGCUCAUGAAACAUUUCUGAUUAUUAUCAAUGUUGAAAACAGUUGUGCCGCUUCAUAUUUUUGUGGAAACUGUAAUAUACUGCUAGUAUUACUGUUAAAAAAAAAAAACACUUUUAUUUAUCAAGAAAGCAUUAAAUAGUUUAAAAUACAUUUAUAAUGUUACAAAAGAUUUUUGUUUUAGAUAAAUGUUAUUUUGAGCUUUCUAUUCAUCAAAGAAUUCUGAAAAAUAAAAUGUAUCAUGGUUUCCA